rnacentral:lncRNA from 1 species
AGAAAAUAGAGAUUGGGGGGGGGCAGUGGGCAGACCUUCCAAUUAACAUUUGAGUCACUCCAUAUCAUUAGCAGCUCUGUGUGGCGCAUUAGGACCACACAUCGUGCCGGAGACGCACCAGGGCUGGUGGGGCUAAUCUCAACUGACGCAACACCCCUGGGCCUGGCUGAGACCGACGUCAACCUCCAACCUCCUCACUCAACACUAGCCUGUGAAUGAGUCCCAAAUGGCACCCUAUUCUAUUCCCAAAAGGGUGCUAUUUCAGACGGGCCCUGGUCAAAAGUAGUGCACUAUACAGGGAAUAGGGUGCCAUUUCAGGAGCACACUAUCAUCAACACUGGGCUCGGGGUUUGUUUAGAUCUGAAAUGCCGCUUGUAAUGCUAUGUUUUUUGUUUGUCAUGCCCACUUCACACUUUUUUUGAACACUUGUCAAUUCCAUGUCACAACUUUGCAGAUAUUGGAUGUUGGACAAAUGUAUAAUAUUGUUUUGUUCGUGUGACUGUGUCGAACCUCUGUGACCUUCUUCACUUCUUCCCUACAGCUAGUGACCCCCAUGACAUGCACCCACACACACGUCCUCAUCAACCAAUCGCAUCCCUGUAUUGGUACGAGGAAGAGCCAAGGAUGAGGAAACCUAUAUAUUGGUGGCGCCACUGUUACGUGACACUUCGACAGGGCUGUUUUGUGUGUGGACCAACAACCAACUUCCUUCUCUGACAUCCAGCCGCUGUUUUGUUUUCCAAUAGGAUAAUUAUUGUUGAACAUCCAGUCUAAGAUUAAUCACUGCUGAAUACAGCAUUGAAGGAUAGUCAGUAUACAGUUUAACCAAUAGGAAAGGUACAGACAGGGGAGAUGCUGUGUUCCCAGCUGCAGGUGUUACUGGUGGCUCUGUCUGCCUCAGUGUUGCUGGCGAGGGUCAGCGCCGCUCCACACAGAGACAUGCUAGCUGAACUACUGAGAGCAGAUACAACCAAGGGCAACGAGCCAUUAUUAUGAGCAGUCCUCCCCUCAGCAGACUCCACUGGAUCCAUUCUACACUUGUAAGAUAUCCAGACACAUCUCAGGAGGUAGUCAGGAAGAUCGGAUCACAAUGCGUCUUUUAAACGUCUACACCCGUCUUAAAAUGUGGACAAGAUCAAGACAAAGGAUGCACGCUCGAACCAUGUAUAAAACGGUGCUAAUGUUUUUAUUCAUUCUCUAAUGAUAUUCUGUAAUAUUCAACUCAAUGGUCAUACAAUUUCAAGAGAACUAGUCAUUAAAUGACCAUAACUUCUACUUGCUGUAUAUGUUAAAUUAUUUGUUGAUUUAAUUAGGCUUCUGAUAAUGUUUUGGUCCUAGAAUAACUGACAGAAGUGUUCUAUGACAACCGUAGUGUUAUAGCAACAAAGAAGUUCUAAGAUCCAUGGUGUCAGUUAUUCCCUUUCUUGGAUGGACAAUGAAGUUGUAUUUAAUGCUAUUAAAUUAUUUUCCUAAUAG